CCGACCUUAGCUCAGUUGGUAGAGCGGAGGACUGUAGAUCCUUAGGUCACUGGUUCGAAUCUGGUAGGUCGGA
rnacentral:tRNA from 1 species